CAUCCCAGUUCCUUUUUACACCCACCCACUAGUCAUUUGGGCGUCACUUGUUACUAAACCACCAUCAAACACACUCCAUCUUCCUUUACAAAACCCCCCCACUGCCACUCAUCUCUUUUACUGUAACCUACACCUUCAAAGAAACGAGCAUUUCAUCUCUAUCCCAUUUUGAAAAAAAAGCUAGUAGAUCCAAACGAGAAGAACCAAUGUCUUUGUUGUUAAAAGUUCCAGAAGAUGUUCACGAUGAGAUCUUUUUGAAGUUACCAGCGAAAUCCAUCUUGGUAUCUAGGAGUAUGGAGUAAAAGAAUCAUGGAUCAAAAAAUAUACCGCUACCUCAACCCAACUACCAAGUCGCAUUACAUUUUGGAAGCCGCUAUGGAGUUUCGAAAAUGGGAAAGUUCUAGUAGAAUAUUGUCUCAAAAAUUUACUUUUGUGUGUUCAAUCAAAUGAAAGAGUUGAAUCAGUGGUGGUUGGUGUUGCGGAUAUGUUUAAUAACCGAGAGACUUAUGUGGAGAGCAUAGUCUCACUUGGCUCUGGUACUUAUCUGGAGAAACGGAUUACAGAUGGGAAUGUGAUGAAUCCCGAGUGACAACAGUUGAGGUAAAAAAAUCAUGUUGCGUAUUUGUUUUAUUAUUUCAGCUGUUAUAUUAUUGUGUCUGCAGUUACAUCACCACUUUACUAAAUGAUGAAAAGUAAUUAUUACUGUGUUA